rnacentral:rRNA from 1 species
GACGAACGCUGGCGGCGUGCUUAACACAUGCAAGUCGAACGGAAAGGCCCUGCUUUUGUGGGGUGCUCGAGUGGCGAACGGGUGAGUAACACGUGAGUAACCUGCCCUUGACUUUGGGAUAACUUCAGGAAACUGGGGCUAAUACCGGAUAGGAGCUCCUGCUGCAUGGUGGGGGUUGGAAAGUUUCGGCGGUUGGGGAUGGACUCGCGGCUUAUCAGCUUGUUGGUGGGGUAGUGGCUUACCAAGGCUUUGACGGGUAGCCGGCCUGAGAGGGUGACCGGCCAAAUUGGGACUGAGAUACGGCCCAGACUCCUACGGGAGGCAGCAGGGGGGAAUAUUGCACAAGGGGGGGAAGCCUGAUGCAGCAACGCCGGGUGCGGGAUGACGGCCUUCGGGUUGUAAACCGCUUUCGCCUGUGACGAAGCGGGAGGGACGGUAAUGGGUAAAGAAGCACCGGCUAACCACGG